rnacentral:tRNA from 1 species
GCCAGAGUGGUGAAAUAGGUAAACACGCACGGUUCAGGGCCGUGUGCCGUAGGGCUUGUGGGUUCGACUCCCACCUCUGGCACCA